AUGAUCCUACAGUUUCUGAAGUCAAAAGUAGCAGUGUUUCAUCUAAUUGUAUCCUUCAAAGCUAAUAGAGUCCUUCAUAAUCUUUUUUGGGUGUGGUCUCUAUUAGUCACUAUGUAUUCGCUGAGAUUCUUUCAUUUUGUUGAAGCUGUAUGUGCAUCUGCUUUUGUCCGUGCCAUGGUAGGCGGCGCUGGAUCAUCUAUGUUGAGGAUGGCUUCACCGACUUGUGCAUCGUCUGAGCUCUGUUUCCCUUUCCUAGGGUUUAACAAAAUCGCAUUUGUUAUUCGUCAAGAGGAGGCCCACAUGCAGCAAGGAGCAAGGUGUACGAAAAAAAAUUGGAACCAAGAUACUCAUCUGGAGUUUAGUGUUUUAUUGCAUCAACAUAACAAUUCGCUGUCUUAUUGCAGGGAUACUGGCUACUUCCCCUUUCUUCCUCUGCCAUCUUCCCAGCAACCAUGGUUCCCAUACCACUGCUCAUUGCAAGGUUCCGUCUGCCUUCCCUCUCACUCUCACAGGAACGCUCACUGGCAGCACACAGGCCUUUCCUGA
rnacentral:rRNA from 1 species